ensembl:lncRNA
CACAGACCGACCGAGCGCUGAGCCGAGGAGGAGUACCGACGCUGCCGAACAAACGCUGGGAAAUUACGCCUCUCUGCCGCGGGAUUCUUCUGGGAGUUUGUCCGUGAACGAGGACGAUGAAAUAGCGUCGACAGGAGGAGAAACUUCCACCGGAUGAAUCGGAGAAAGGAAGAGAAAAGAUCGGUGGUUGUGAUGUUGGUCUGACCUGACUUCCACACUACAUUUCCCAUGGAGCCGUGCGCAGACACUGUUCUACCAUGGAGCCACCAGUCAGCUUUGGUAAGCUUUAUCUGCCUGAUACAACCAGUCAGCUGUGAUGGAGUCAGUUUUUCCGGAGCCGUCGUUGAUGAGUUUUCUGCGAGUACGUGACCAUGUGUGGAAACGAAGCAGAUUGCUGCCUUUGUUUCAUGACGAGGUGACUCAAGUGCCUGAGUCUCAGAGCUUGCUGACAGACCUUCAAACAGAGCCGGCCAGUCUGCAGCACAAAAUCACUCCCAUAUGUCCCUCUGCAGCAGCUUACCCACCACCACCUCCAGCCUCCUCACCGCCCUGCACGCUCAGCCUUCAGCACAACCUGAC